rnacentral:rRNA from 1 species
AUUGAACGCUGGCGGCAGGCCUAACACAUGCAAGUCGAGCGGAGCUGCCGACGGGUGAGUGAUUCCUAGGAAUCUGACUUGUCGUGGGGGAUAGCGUCCGUAAACGGGCGCUAAUACCGCAUACUUUUAGAUGAGCCUUGGAUGGAUUAGCUAGUUGGUUUGGUAAAGGCCUACAAAGGCGACGAUCCGUAACUGGUCUGAGAGGCUGAUCAGUCACACUGGAACUGAGACACGGUCCAGACUCCUACGGGAGGCAGCAGUGGGGAAUAUUGGGCAAUGGGCGAAAGCCUGAUCCAGCCAUGCCGCGUGUGUGAAGAAGGUCUUCGGAUUGUAAAGCACUGUAAGUUGGGAGGCGUUACCAACAGAGUAAGCACCGGCUAACUUCGUGCCAGCAGCCGCGGUAAUUC